rnacentral:misc_RNA from 1 species
UCCGGUUUGGCACCGGCAGUCCUCCCAGAGUCCUCAGCAUUACCUGGUAGCAACUGGGAGCGGGGGUUGCGCUCGUUGCGGGACUUAACCCAACAUCUCACGACACGAGCUGACGACAGCCAUGCAGCACCUGUCUUGGGACUCCGAAGAGGGGCCGUGGUUUCUCACGGCUUUCCCCAAGAUGUCAAGCCCAGGUAAGGUUCUUCGCGUUGCGUCGAAUUAAACCACAUGCUCCACCGCUUGUGCGGGCCCCCGUCAAUUCCUUUGAGUUUCAGCCUUGCGGCCGUACUCCCCAGGCGGGGCACUUACUGCGUUAGCGACGGCACCGGGAGGGUCGCUCCCCCCGACGCCUAGUGCCCAUCGUUUACGGCGUGGACUAC